GAGUCAUAAUAAUCAAUCACCAAAGCUCUCAUUACUUUUGUACGUGUCUUUGUCUGUGUUUAUUGACUUUGGUUUUUCCUUCUAAUAGUAUUUAUAUAUCUUGAGUCAGGAAUUUAAUUUUUGUGUAAUAGAAGAUGAUUCUGAGGUUAUUGAAAUUCAUAUUGGUAGAUUUGGGUUGUAAGUUAGGUAGUAAGAUCGGAUUUCUAUAUUCUUUGUGGUCAAUUUUGAAUAUAGAUGGGAUAUGGCAUGAGUAGAGUGUCGUCUAAAUUCAGGUGCUUGCGUGUUCAGAUCAUUAUUCUGUAUGCAAAUGUCCAUAUACUUGGUUUUAUAUUCAAAUAGCCAAUGCGAAAUGUCUGAAUUUAAAACUUGGAAUUAUUAUUUCACAGUUCCCCGAUUCUAUUUGUGACAGACAAAGCAGCAGCUCCUAGGUAGCCCCGUCAACCUCCUUGUUUUAUUGCCCACUCUAAAAAGCUAGCUCAAUGGCUUUGGGCUCAUAAACGGUCAGUCUAAUGGAGUUUUACAAGGUCAGUUUUGGUUCCAACUACAAAUAAAGUUGAUAUUCUUGUUGCAACUGUAAAGCAAGCUCCAGAAGAGUGGACAAGAGCUUUCCACCAGGGAUUGAACAUUUGGAGUUAUGGCAGCGUGAAGAAUUUGAAGGGAAAGACCAUGAUUUAGCAACAAUAACACUGGAUCCAUUACUUGUGAAAUUUCUUCUACCUCGUCAUAGGUUAUUUCGUAUUUAGAUAGCUCAUUCAAAUUCAACAUAGAUGGAGUACACAUUUUUAGUCACUAAAGCUCUCGUUCUUCAGCAUUGUCAAAGGGAAGCCCCAGAAGAGGAUAAGAGCUGGCCAUCAGGGAUUAAACAUUCAGAGUUAUGGCAUCGUGAAGAAUUUGAAGGGGAAGACCAUGAUUUGGCAACAAUAACACUAGAUCCAUUACUUUGUGAAAUUUUUUCUGCCUCGUCAAAAGGUAAGUCGCAUAUGAAUAAUUCUUGUAGCUAAAUAAGUUUAGUAAGAGAAAAGAAAAAUGUAAGGUUGUGUUUGGUAACAAGUAUGUUAUUUAAAAUGAUGGAUUUCUAAUGAUAUGAUUUGAGUUGUCAUUUCGAAUUCUCAAGUUUAUACUAAUAUUUUGUCUUGGAUUCCAAUAUUUCAGUUGAAAUCCAUAUCUAAAUCUUUUGUUUAUCCCAAAAUGUCAUCUGGUCAAAUCUACAAUUUCAAAUGAAAUUUAUGUUUUCAAAUAGUUCAUUAUAGUAGUUGAAAUGCCGAUAUGGUACAUUUCAUAGCUUUGAGCUGUUGGACAUCUAAAAUUCGUGAAACAUGCAGAAUAUGGCUAUAAUGUAACUAUACUAUGGGGUUGUAAAUUUAAUGCACAAAGUAUAUACGUUAGUAGGUCUUUUGUCAUUCUUUAAAGCAGUGAUACCGGCAGUUAUACAAGUAACAACGAUCUCAUGUCACCUCUUUGUACAACAUUAUUUUGCGUGCAUUUCUGUGUUCUGAGUUGACUAAAGAUUUGUCAAUUUUAGCUUUUAUUGUAGGUUAUUUCGUAUUUAGAUUGCUUAUUCGAAUUGAACAUAGAUAAAGUACACAUUUUCAGUCACUAAAAUUAUCGCUACUUUUUUACAUGUAUUGACUUAGAUUUUGCCUUCUAUUAUACUUUAUCCUGAUUUGAAAAAUUAACUUUUGCAUUUUAGAGAUAAUUUAAAGUUUUAUGAACUAUGAGCACGUCAUUAAGAGGCCAUUGGAAUUUAUAUAGGCAGCUUUUGGUUGUAAGUUAAGUAGUGG